GGAAAAACAAGGCACUUCAGCUUUUAAAAUGACUGAUAAAUUGACAUGUCAUAAACUGAAAAAAACUUAAUAACCAAUCUACUUAUUUUGUUUGUACACGUCAAUUCUUCUUCGCGGUGGAGUGAACAAAAAUUUUACGAAGAUCUAACAUUGGUGCUCGUGUUGAAGCUUGACGGUGGACUCAAUCAUUACCCGUCUCCACCUUGUCUCCGUCGUCACCUUUCUCUCUCUCGUGCCCGGAGACGCAGCAACAACAAACCAAACGCAGUGGUGCUCGUGGUGGUGAGUAGCGGAGCGUAACGGUGGUCUCAUUCAUCACCUGUAUCCACCUCGUCUCCAACUCCUCUCUGUCGUCAACUCUCUCUCUCUCUCUCUCUCCAACUCCUCUCCGUCGUCUCCUGUGUUUUGAUUCUCAUUUUAUCUUUGUUUUGGUAAAGGAAGUUGAUGAGGCAGAAGAAGAUGGUGUUUGUUGGUGUUACGGCUGAGAAGAUUGGUGUUCAAGGCGAGUAGCAGUUACAUUGGCGGUGGUGCAGUAGUGGCCAACCGCC